rnacentral:rRNA from 1 species
UAGGGAAUCUUCCGCAAUGGGCGAAAGCUUGACGGAGCAACGCCGCGUGAGUGAUGAAGGUCUUCGGAUCGUAAAACUCUGUUUUUAGGGAAGAACAUAUGUUUAAGUAACUAUGCACGUCUUGACGGUACCUAAUCAGAAAGCCACGGCUAACUACGUGCCAGCAGCCGCGGUAAUUCGUAGGUGGCAAGCGUUAUCCGGUAUUAUUGGGCGUAAAGCGCGCGUAGGCGGUUUUUUAAAUCUGAUGUGAAAGCCCACGGGUCAACCGGGGAGGGUCAAUGGAAAAUGGGAAACUGGAGUGGAGAAGAGGGAAGUGGAAAUCCAUGUGUAGCGGUGAAAUGCGCAGAGAAAGGGAGGAAAACCAGGGGCGAAGGCGACUUUGUGGUCUGUAAAUGACGCUGAUGUGCGAAAGCGUGGGGAUCAAACAGG